rnacentral:miRNA from 1 species
GGCGAGUGAACUCUGGGUCAUG